GCACUGCUGAGGAGUCCCAAAAUAAGAUGAAACGACCGUCUAGUGC
rnacentral:hammerhead_ribozyme from 1 species